GGAAGUAAAAGUCGCAACAAGGUUUCCGUAGGUGAACCUGCGGAAGAAUCAUUCAUAAUAAAGUGUUUUAUGGCACUUUUUAAAAAUCCAUAUCCACCUUGUGUGCAAUGUUAGAUCUCGUCAAUCUUGGCGAGAUUUUUAUACAUCAACUCAUUCUUUAACUAAUUUGUCUGAAAAAUAUUAUGAAUACUUAAUUCAAAAUACAACUUUCAACAACGGAUCUCUUGGCUCUC
rnacentral:misc_RNA from 1 species